rnacentral:rRNA from 1 species
AGUGAACGCUGGCGGUAGGCCUAACACAUGCGAGUCGAACGGCAGCACAGUAAGAGCUUGCUCUUACGGGUGGCGAGUGACAGACGGGUGAGGAAUACAUCGGAAUCUACUUUUUCGUGGGGGAUAACGUAGGGAAACUUACGCUAAUACCGCAUACGACCUACGGGUGAAAGCAGGGGAUCUUCGGACCUUGCGCGAUUGAAUGAGCCGAUGUCGGAUUAGCUAGUUGGCGGGGUAAAGGCCCACCAAGGCGACGAUCCGUAGCUGGUCUGAGAGGAUGAUCAGCCACACUGGAACUGAGACACGGUCCAGACUCCUACGGGAGGCAGCAGUGGGGAAUAUUGGACAAUGGGCGCAAGCCUGAUCCAGCCAUACCGCGUGGGUGAAGAAGGCCUUCGGGUUGUAAAGCCCUUUUGUUGGGAAAGAAAAGCAGCAGGUUAAUACCCCGCUGUUCUGACGGUACCCAAAGAAUAAGCACCGGCUAACUUCGUG